GACUUGGGGGAGGAUCCAUCCCCAUUUUUAAUUAAUUUUGUCUGAAAAUUUUCUCUUGGGAUCAAGUUUGUGUUUCAGCUUCAUAUAAGUGUAGUUCAAUUUUAUAGGUAGAGAAUGAUCAGUUUGUUCAGAAUUUCAGCUUCAUAUAAAUGUAGUACAAUUUUCUUGUCUCUCAAUUGACUAGUUUUGUCAGAGUUUUAGCUUCAUAUAAAUGUAGUUCCAUUUUCUCAUCUCUCAAUUGACUUGUUUUGUCAGUGUGCUUUCAUCCAUGAUCUUCUUUUGGUGUUUCACUGUUUUGCUUAUCAGCUACUGAGCUACAUGAUCGACUAUCCCAUUUCUCUUACAUAUGCAUUUGUUGUAUCCUAUAGGGCUUGCUACUGAAAUUAUAGGACAUUAUCAUCUAAAGGCAUUUUGUCGAUUGGUUGCUACAUAUGUGCUUUCCAUGACCUCUCCAAUGGGUUGAUUCCUCUUAUGUUGCAAAUCCUGUAAUAAUGUCAAUGGUAGUAGGAUCCCAUCAUUAUGCCUAUAUUGAAUUUCAUAGUCGGAAUAGAAUAUUUGUAGCAUACACAUGUUUAGAUGGUUGUAAUAUCCUUUGUUGAGGUUUUAUAUUAAAGUCUAUUUUUAAAGUUUAACUGCAUUAAAGAUUUAAUGCACUGACGAAACAUAUACAAGAGA
rnacentral:misc_RNA from 1 species